rnacentral:rRNA from 1 species
GGCGAACGCUGGCGGCGUGCUUAACACAUGCAAGUCGAACGGAAAGGCCCCCUUGUGGGGUACUCGAGUGGCGAACGGGUGAGUAACACGUGAGUAACCUACCCUUGACUUUGGGAUAACUUCAGGAAACUGGGGCUAAUACCGGAUAGGAGCUCCUGCUGCAUGGUGGGGGUUGGAAAGUUUCGGCGGUUGGGGAUGGACUCGCGGCUUAUCAGCUUGUUGGUGGGGUAGUGGCUCACCAAGGCUUUGACGGGUAGCCGGCCUGAGAGGGUGACCGGCCACAUUGGGACUGAGAUACGGCCCAGACUCCUACGGGAGGCAGCAGUGGGGAAUAUUGCACAAUGGGCGGAAGCCUGAUGCAGCAACGCCGCGUGCGGGAUGACGGCCUUCGGGUUGUAAACCGCUUUCGCCUGUGACGAAGCGUGAGUGACGGUAAUGGGUAAAGAAGCACCGGCUAACUACGUG